rnacentral:tRNA from 1 species
UGGCUCAGUUGGUAGAGCAUGGUGUUUGCAAAGCCAGGGUUGUGGGUUUGAUACCCAC